ensembl:lncRNA
GAAGAAGGGAGGGAAUCUGGCAAGCCAUCUCUUUUUCCAGCAGGAACACUAUGUUCCAUCCAACACUUUUAUAGCAACAGAAAUGCAGGGUUGACAGCGAAGAUGAAUGUGCUCGUUAAAAAACAGAUCUUUUGGUUAAAUUAAAAAAAAGAAGCAGCUGUUUUUAAAAUGGUGCUGGAAUCUAUGCUGUUUUGGAGUAACCCCUGCACUUUACAUAACACAUGGAGCUGCCUGAUGUACCGUAUCAUCCUCCUUAGCUACAAUAGUCUGUAAGUGUUUGUUUUCCACUGAAUUACAGUGUUAGAUUCAUAUAUCACCGGGACAGCAAAAUAUGAACUAAGAGGGAGUCUACAAAUAUGCACUUUACUAGUUAUUUUCCCUAUCAGCAAGUUUCGAGACAGGCAACAGGACUCUGGGUGUUAUAACAGGUCUGAGUUAAAUUACCACGUUUCUGUUGUAUAAGCUUUGCUUUCAAGAUGCUUCAGCCAAUCAGAGGCUACAAUAAACAAUGGGCAAAACAAAGAGUCCAUUCAAUAACCACUAACUUUCUAAGGAGGAGAUGCUGCUGAUCUUCCUAACGUUAUAUAAAUUCUUCUCUACAUAAGCCUGAAGGCACAAUUCCUAGAGGCAGAGUAAGACUCCAGUUGGGAAAGUAGCUGAAGCACAGCGGAGAGACGUCCCAAAAAUCAGCAUUGGGAGGAACACUAUGUUUACACACAACAAAUUGAAGAUUUUCGUAAUGCUUCUGGCACUGGUCACUUACACAGCCAUGGUGGUGCUCAAUGCUGGAGCGGGAUCAGGGGCAUUCAAAGGUUUUCUCUGGAAAACUUUGUGCUUGACAAGUAUGUGCGGUAUAAUCUCACUGUCUACCCAGUGGUCAUUGUAGCCCUGACCGGCAUUGUGUGGAAGAACUACUCCCUUUCAUCUCCAACUGACAACAGUGUGUUUACAGUUGUGUUGCUGGCGGUGGCUUGUGUUACUUUUGCUGUUCGGCUGGGAAUAGUCAUAUGGAGACAUUGUAAAAGGCCUCUCAACCGAUCAGAUUCUCCAGCCAUGACACUGUGAAGUAUAUUUCCAAAGUGAAGACCUUAAGGGGGAGAUUUUCAAAGCCAUGAAUGGGAAUCAGGCACCCAACAGCCACUGACUCUCUCUCCCAACACCCACUUCCCUGUUGCCUUGAAAAUCUCUGAAAUGUGGAACAGUGAACAACACAAAGAGGGUAGUAAGGUGGUUACAGUGAUUUCGAAUAAGCAUUCAGGGUCCCUCUCUUUUUCAGGAUCUCUCUCUCCUUCCACUCUGAUCGAUUACACUUACCCUACCACCUUUAAUUUGACCACUAUCUGUUUUAUUAAAUGGUGUUUUCAGUUUACACCAGAGGAGUAGAUGAACAGAUCCCUCUGACAAAGCCUAAUGCACUUCUGGAUAAAUGGACAGUAGCACUCAGGUAUGUCCAGCCUGAGGCAGGCCCGUGAACACAGUUGCCACACUUGCACUUUUGCACAGAGACGUUAUCUUUUCCGGUUUAAAAAACGGUUGUAAAUAAGCAACCCCUCUCUGGUGACUGAAAUGCAUAAACCAAUGGCUCUCUUUCUUCACUGGCCCAGACCUUGGGCCCGGUUUUUGUCAGUGCUGAGCCUCUGCAAGUCCCAUUGAAGUCAGUGGGUGCUCAGCACCUCUAAAAAUCAGGCCACUGCGCCCCUUUCUAGCUCUCCCCAACAUGGCAAGAACAAAGCCGCAGUAGUGCUAUAUUUUUAUUUUUGCAGCAUCUGUUUUAACAUUCUGCAUCCAGUGUGUUGGAGUGGUUACAAUUACUGAUUAAUUAUUGUUACUCACACCUUCUUGUCAACUGUUGGAAAUGGGCCAUCCUGAUUAUCACCACAAACGUUUUUUUUCUCCUGCUGAUAAUAGCCCACCUUAAUUGAUUAGUCUCGUUAUAGUUGGUAUGGCAACACCCAUUUUUUCAUGUUCUCUGUGUGUAUAUAUAUCUUCCUACUGUAUUUUCCACUGCAUGCAUCCGAUGAAGUGGGUUUUAGCCCACGAAAGCUUAUGCCCAAAUAAAUUUGUUAGUCUCUAAGGUGCCA